AUCCAAAGAUUGGGAAGUUCACUGCACGAAGGCAGCUGCUGUGCGAAUUGGCUAGCUAAUUAUAGUCAUGGUUUGGAGCUAGGAGCUCACCCUUUUAGCAACAUUCCAGAGGGCAUUUUCUUCUUUGAUUUUUGCUGAUAUGGUGUGGAUAUCCUUACCCAGUAGUGGUGUGUUGUUUUCUAAGUUUUAGGUUACGGCACGUUUACAACAACAAAAAGAAAAUAAAAGAUAAAGAUGGACAGUGUCCAUUUCUGCUGUGUCCUUGAUAGAAAUCAACGCAUGAUUUUUCAUAGAAAGGUCACUUAACAAUAAAACAGAGAGGUUAAUUAUUGAUACGAAUAACAGAGUGACGAUUCCAGUAUGAGAAAUGGUGCAAUUUUCAUGAGAAAAGCUUGGACACGGACAAGGUAAGAAUUUCAGCUUCAACAAUUAAAGUGUCGUUCCUAACAUAACCCUUGGAGACUUCAUGGAGAUCUCCCAGUGGCAUGAACUCGCGGAAACCACGUCUAAUGACUGGAGGAGGUUAACCAAUGUGAAACUGCAACAAAAUAAUUUGUGAGAAACUUUAGUCAAUAAGAAGUUCAAUAACUAAAACUGGCAAAGAUGGAAAACUUUUCAUGCCUCUAUGUUCACCAAGCAGCCAUGGAGUUCACAAAUACUGUAGCCAUGAGUAAUGUUAAUUUUCCAAAUAUUUUUGGAGAAGUGAUAAAAAUAUCUUAGACAACUGUGUUUUGUUAGGCAUUUCCAGUACCAUGUAUGCAUCUAUCUGUUCUGUCCUUUCUUCAUUGGGAUUUUAAGAGUAGGGUGAACAUGUUAUAUCUGGUCUUAUGGGGUGGUUUAAUUACUUGUUUCUUCAACAUGUUUGUCAUGGCGUUGGUCCAAAACUCGUAGCUUGUAUUCUGCCCACACAGUUUUCUUUGGUGGAAGUUUAUCACCAUCAACUAGUUCCAGGAAUACAGAUAGUGAAUCUCCCUUUGCUUCAGCAUUUCCUUUGGGAUAAACUUUUAUUCUCCUGAAACGAUGGGAAGAGCCAAAAUUACAACAAAACUCAAGACUGGUUCUCGAAUAGAAACGUUUGUGAUUAUAAGUCAGCAUACCAACUUCUCCUUCCAGCAGUAAAGGCUUUGGAUAAAUAUGAGCUCUUAUCUAAUUUAGAGAAAUCUUUGAUCUUCAUGUUAGAGAACCAUUUGCAGGUUUUUUAACCAUAGAAUGUAAUUCCCAUUUUCGAGUUGGUUUGAUAACAAAAAUCUCAGCUCCAAAAACACAGCAGUCCUUGACAGGGUAUCCUUUAGAAGCAUCAUUGAAUGUUUCAAGGGAAAGCAAUUGAUCGAAACCCCAUUCGGUCUUCAUCUCAUGAAAACGUUUUACUGAUCCAUCCGAUUCCACAAAACAGUAGUUCUCCAUUUAAAUUCAAGAAUAUAAAGACAAGAAAGUAAAAACAUUUGCAGUGUUGUACAUAUUAUUAGUAAGAGAAUCCACCUUGGACAGUCAAAUAUUUGUUAUUUAUCUGAUGAAUUCGGCGUUGACCUCCCACCGACGAGGAAGAUUGCUUGUUUUUUCUAUUUCCAAGUAAAGGGAAACAAAGCCUUUCCCUUACCCCUUUUUGUUUCCUUUAGGGUAAAGACACAACCUCCUGGAAACAAGAAAAAUGAUCACUUGAGGAAGAGCCUAAUUAUCACUUGAGGAAUCAGGUAUUGGUCAAAGGAAGGUCGUACUUUUCGACUUUUGUCUUCAGAAGUAAGGAGAAUGGCUCUAUCUUAAGGGAGUAAUGCAUUGGAGGUAUAUCUCUUUUGGAUCUUGUGACUCCUGGAAAAGAAAGGGAAAUAUUGAUACGCCUGGGCUGGGCAUCAUCAUUUUUAUUUAUUUUUUUAAUUUUUUUUUUUGCCAGAUUCAGUUUUUAUUGAUGCUAUGCAAAUCAUAUAGAUAGAUUCAACAUUCUGGAGGCUGAAAAUUCGGCUAUGACUUGCAUAUCAGAAUUACUUGUAUAUAUUCAGCCACAUAACUAAUAACGAUAGCAUCGACUUUUGUAGGUCACGGUAAACAAAGGUGAGAAGCAACAUAUACAGGACAGGACUCACAACAGACUGAAAAAAGAGAGUUCCAAGAUAAAAAGAAGAAGCAUACCAGAGUCGCAGAACUUAUGCUUGUUCUCCAUUGCAGAAUACGUAAUGUGACUCCUGACCAAAGCGAUCAAUUAGACAGAGAGCCUGAGAACUAUAAGGAUGAGCAAACCAAAUUGGUUAUAGCAUUACCUGGUCGACGGGUUAGAUAAGGAAUUUUGUAAGAUGAAGUUGAUACGAUUUAUAGUUGAUUACUAGCAACUCAAUCCUUUUCCCUCAAAAGAUCUAACCUUAACCGGCAAGCAUGGCAUAGUGGUUGACGGGUGUGGAUAAAAAUUUUAAUGACUAUAAUUUUGGUACAGGUUUCCAUCUAAAAAAAAAGAAGAGUUUUGGAUUUCUUUUGAUACUUUUGUCAAAGAACCAAUUUAAUUCAAAAGACUAAGCUGUUAGGUGGAAUUCCAAGAUAUGAUUUUUAUUAUUCUCUAAUACACCCCCUCAAGUGAAAUCUUUUUGGGCUUGAAACUUGCACAGACCCACACUACCUUGUGCUUAAUUUUUAUCAAAUAAAUAGGGGUAGUGAAAUUCAAACUCGUGAUCACUUGGUUAUCAAAACUCUGAUACCAUGUUAAAGAACCAUGAUCUCAACCCAAUAACUUAAACUAUUAGAUAAGGUCUCAAAAUAUGAUUUAAUUAUUCUCUAACACACUCUUUCAACUCAAAAGCUUAAAUUGUUAGGUGAGGUCUCAAGAUAUGAUUUAUAUUAUUUUCUAACACACAUCUUCAAGUGAAAACCCUAGACUUGAAAAUUGUACAGACUCACAUUACUUUGUACUUAAUUUUUCUCAAAUAAAUAUGGAUAUUAAUGAGAUUCGAACUCGUGACUGCUUAAUCAUCAAGACUCUGAUACCAUGUCAAAGAAUCAAUUCAACAUAAAUAUUUAAACUGUUAAAUAAAAUUUUAAAAUAUAAUUUAUAUUAUUUUUUAAUACAAGUAAUUGCUCAUUAUCCUUCCACAUGCGUGUCUGGUCACUUCUACCCAUUGGAAAAGCUGGAGACCUUCCUUUUCAUGAAAGCGACGUCCAGCCAGGACAACACUGUGAAUCUCACUUCCAGAGGCUACAUCUUCAUAGCACUCAUACAAGAUGUCCAUGCAGGGAUAAUACGAGGCACUGUAAGCAGUCUCGAAUUCCUUUUUGCCUUCUGCAGACAAGGAAUGGUAAACAGCCAGCAUGCCCUUGGUUGAUAUGGUCCUUGAUAUGGUUCCAGUAAUGCACUCAACAGUAUUCUUGUAGGCCUCGUCUUCACUCAUUCCAUUUUCGGUGUACCGUCUAAACAAGGACUCCACAAUUCCAUGAACAUUACCAAGCAAAAUGCCCCUCUCCCCAAAGAUAUCACUUUUGUAUUCCUGCCCUAGUGUAGUGGCAAAUGUGAAAGGUGAACCAAGGGCAGCGGACCAUCCCAAGGCAACGUCAGUGGCUCUACCAUAUCAACAUCCUGGUGGACUGCGAAACUGGAAUUAAUUCCAGCACCAUUGACCUCUUUGCCUUGAACAAUAUGGAGUCUCCUCACAGAAGGACCCAUUCCCUUGGGGCACACAGCAAUAACACUGAUGUUCUUCGGAAAAUCAAGUCCCGUUGACUGCAAAUGCCCAAGAAGAAAUCCAUGGGAAAACCCAAGAAUGCUGUUUGGCUUCAUGUGGGAGAAGACUUUCUCAUAGUUAUCUGCCUGUGCAGCAUCAGAAAUCAGUAGCAAUACUAGAUCGCUGCCAGAAUUAACGGUUUCCCAUAUAUCACCUAAAGUCCCAUUCUCUUUUGUAAGACCAGCACCCCGAGCUUCAGAAAAAGAACGAGAGCCCUUCCUCAGUCCAAUCUUGACUUUAAUAUCAGACUUUGCUUCAGCAAGAGAAUCCCUCAGAUUAUGAGGUUGAGCAGGACCCUGGGAACCCCAACCGAUAACGCCAAUCUGCUUAAUCCCCUUAAAUGCAUCAGGCAGAAAGUGGAACAAAUCCCUCCCUCCUCUUACAAUGUACUCAUCGUGACCAGCAAGAGAGACCUUCUCCUUCUUAAGCACAGAGGUCUCAAAAUCAAGAGAGAUCAUGGGUUUCACGCUGGGAACCGACGAGACCAUCUUGCACCCAAAACUCCAGCAGAGAUGUUACCAUUGCUGGCUUUGAGUGGUUUGAAGGUCUUAGAAGUGAGUGAUGAUGAAAACCCUAAAUUGCCGUUACAUAGCAACGAUCUUGAAGAUGCAGGUUUUAGGGUUUUUGAAGGGGUUGGAGUGGUGAGGGUAUUGGAGAGGGAUGUAGCCGCCGCCAUGUGUUUUCAGUGAGAGAGUUGGAGAAGGGAAAUGUGGAAGAGAGGAGCACGUGGAAGGUCUACCAGCUUUUCCAACGGGUGAAAUUGAUCAAAUGUGGAAGGUUGGUGAGCGAGUCCGGGCUGCCCGGCCAGCUGGGGACUUCGGUCCAUUGCAUCCAUUAAUUCACUGCUGGUGUUUAUCGGCAUAAAUGAUAAUGAUGAUUAUGAUAUUAUAUAUCUCAUACAAAUUUAAUCUAAAAAAUUAAUUUAAUUAAAAUUUUAAAAUAUAAUUUAUAUUAUUCUCUUAAUUUUUUUUUCCAGGAAAAAAAAAAGAAAACAUUUUGGAGGCUAAAAACUCAUCUAUGAUUAACGAGAACCCAGCGGCAUGCAUAUCAAAAUUCAUGUUUGAUAAGAUCAACUUUUGUAGGUCAUGCUAUACAAAAGUGAAAAGCAUCAUAUACAUGACAGAUCUCUAACAAUAGACUGAAAGAAAAGAGUUCCAAAAUAUGAAUAAGAAGCAUACUGUCACAGUGUCAAAAGUGCACGAGGUGCACGCUUCGGCAGGCUGGCCAAAACAAGGCCUAAGGGUGCUGGCAGUCAUGCCAUCAGUGGGAGAAAUCGUCAGCGCAGAUUUAUGCGGCUGUAGGUUCGUCAAAGGGAAAAUCGGCAGCGCAGAUUGUUGACGAACAUGGGCUGGACGAGGGACUGUCCAAGCCAAGCAGGAAAACUCGUCAGGGGGAUAGGCUGACGAGAAUUGGGGCUAUCGCAGAAUUCGGCAGCGUAGACAGGGACAGCCUGCACGCAGAUGCGAAUUCGGCAGCGCAUUGGCAGCCUGCCCGCAGAUGCGGAUUCGGCAGCGCGCAGCAACUUGUGCAAGUCAGGGGCUCGACUUGGCACGAUCUAAAACUUGGGCGAAGGACUGUCCAAGGCAUGGGCUAAGAGCUCUAGGCGCUGGGACGCGCCAACGAAGGCACACUGCCUAGAAUUCGGCAGCGAUGGAUCGCGGCAGCCUUGCAUAGGCAGAGAUGAAUUCGGCAGGCAGCAUGCAAUGGUCUAUGCGAGUCUUUGAGCUUGCGACUUGGCAUGGACGUGGGGGCUUAGAUGAUGGACCUUCUAAGUCAGCAGCUGACACAGCAGAAGGUGGCAGCUGGGGCUGCCAAGUAGACAGCCAGGAAAUGGGGGAAGUGGCAGCUUCAUGGGAGGCAGAACGUGGGAGCAUAACUGGGGUGCUGUCCGGGCCACUAUGUCCUGAAAACAUGGGAUCAUGGGUGAGAGGUAGUGCUCCACCAUGUCCUGAAAACAUGGGAUCAUGGGAGAGAGGUAGUGCUCCACUAGGUCCCGAAAAUGGGGGAUAAUGGGGAGGAGCCUUUGCAGCUCCUUUGCUUGUCUAUAAAUACAAGAUGUAGCUCUUGGUUGUGGGGAGAGCAUUCGGGUGGGAAUGUUCAGAUGUAAGGGCAUUCGGUUGGGAUUGUCCAGCAUGUAGGGGCAUGCAAGAACAUGUGUAGAACACUAGUUAGAGGUAGCUUGGUGUAGCAUGUAAUCUUUGUGCAUAGCACACAUACGGAUUUGUGUAUAGUUUCCUUUGUGUAUGAGAUUAAUAAAGGUUGGGAAAGAGUUCCUGUAAAGCUUGUUGUGCACUAUGAUUCUUAUCCUUGCUUGUGUAUUCCGCUUGCUUAGUAAUUAGGCAAACACGAGUGAGAUUGGUGAGGGAAGGCUGAGUCUAGUGAGGGACUAGGCUGCCGCACGGGUUUAUUCGCGUAGCGAAAAAUACCCCCGUGACACAUACCAUGUCCUCUGGAGCUCAUAGAAUCGCAGUUCUCUUUCUCGUUCUCCAUUUUUAAAUAGAUCAAGUUGUUGACAGUUUCUAUAGUUGAUUACUAGAAAGCAAUUCGUUUAAGUGUUUCAUCAAUGAUUGAUUAUAAGGGAGUGAAUAGAGGACUAAUGUCAUAGAUUAUUGAGUUUCACACCAGGCAAGUAUCCAGGUGCAUUUCACCCGAAGAACAUAGGAGAAAAAAGGAUUAGAUAGGGAAAGUCGACCGCUCAAAAUGAACUGUCCAAUCUUGUCCAAAAUAAAAACAAGAAGCAUACCAAGUCCGCUGGAGCUCAUGAAUCGCAGAACUUGUUCUCGUUCUCCAUUGUAGAGUACGUACUGUGACUCGUGGCCACAGUGAUCAAUUUGACAGAGAUCCUGAACCUAAUUAAGGAUGAGCAAACCACAUGGGUGAUUGCAUGCAUUACCUGAUAGAGUUUACUUUUAUAAAAACAGACAAGUCUAGACAUCAGACAUAUAAAAUGAUCAACUUGAAAAUUUUGAUAGUUAAAGAAAGACCAUAACUUAAUCGUGAUUAAUUAACAGUUCAUUUAAAGUCUUUGAGACAAGUUCACAUGGCUAUGGGACAAUCAGAGAAUAAGAUGAACGAGUCCGAAACAUUGACAUCACAUUCACAAAUAAAUGAAAGUCGUUCCACACAGUAGAUGAGCAAUAAUGGAUUAAACAGAGAUUGUGAAGAGUUAGGUGAGGGAUUUUGUUUGAUAAGGUGUUGAAAGUAAACAUAAUUUUUUAUUUUUCUGAAAAAAAAAAGGAAUUAUUCUAUUAGUUGGGAACUAAUUAAUCGAUUAAAUUAAAUGAAUCAGUCAACCAGUUUAGAAAAGAUCAAGUUAAGCUUGCAAAAUUACUUUUCCUGAUUAAAUUAAGUUAUUUUUUAGUUAGUUUAAUUUUUAAUUGUCUAGUAAUUUAAACCUAUAAAUAAUCUCGUAAUCAAAAACUUAGAAUAUAAAUAUAAUAGAGAAAAAAGAUGUAUAAAAGAGUUUCAAACAUUUUUUUUUUGUUAAUAAACUCAUACCACAGUAAUUUUCUUCCAAUAGUUGAUACAUUCUAUAUUUGAUUACUAGCGAGUCAAUUUUAUUAAGGUCUUCGAUCGUCAUUGAUUGAUUAUAAGGUAUUGGAUAGAUGAUUAAUGUCAUAGAGUAUUAAGUUUCACCCCAAUAACUUGGAAGAAAAACAAAUAAGAUUUCACAGGAAAAGUUCAAAUGUUUAUAUAUACGACGUCUCAAAAUUAACUGUGGCAUCAACUCAAGUUCGGGAAAUGAUUUGUAAAAGGGUGUAAGUUGUUAUGUAACUGUACCAGUACAAGUCAAUUAUUUUUAUUAAAACAAGAGUGUUUUAUUUAUUUAUUUACAAGAUAUUAAUCUAGCCAGCUUCGGAACAAAAUCUUCAAACUAAAAUACUUCCAAGACUUUAAAGGCCUGGAGAUAUAGUUUUGAAACCCGAUUCGAUCAUCGAUCCGGUCUAGUGAUCGGGUCACGAGUCAGAUGGGUUGACCCGGGUUUACUUAGAUCAAUCCAAAAAAAAUACCUAUAUAAAACAUCUAAUUAGUUACAAAUCCUUGCACAGCCUCAAUUAUAUAUACUGGUAAAGCAGCAACGAGGCAGAAGAUCGCAACAGUACCCCCCAUCUACCAUGCAUGUUGCCCUUGGACUCCAAGGCUUGGAGGCUAUCUACUUUGAAAGAUUUCACAAACAUGUCUUCUUUCAAAUCUGAGGAUUUCUAGCUAGCAUCUUCAGUUGAAUGUUUCAAAUUACUAUAUAUAAUUAUAUAAUACAUGGGCUAGUACUAAGUUGUGUAUCUUAAAGGGAUAACUGGAUAAGGAGCAGAGAGACGAAGAAUUCAAGAGAGAGAGGAGCUUUCAAAGAUUCCAUUAAUAGACUAAAAAUAAGUGAAUUAGCUAAAUUAUGAUUACUAAACUGACUAACUGUGGUAUCUGCAUCAGCAAUGGUGACCCAAGCAAUUGGAGCAAUUGCAGCAAUUCUACAUCAAUGCAUCAGUGCAUCGUUCAUCUCGUUGUUUUGGUCUUUUAGCCAAAACAACGUCGUGUAACCUUUUUAUAUAUAUAUAUAUAAAGACCGGGUUUCAGCCGGGUUUACCCAGAUCGGCCGGGUCCCGGGUCGACCGGGUUUCGCCGGGCCAACUCCCAGGCGAGUUUUUGCUUCGACCCGGACCGGUCCCAUGCCCGGGUCGGCCGGGUCCCAUGUCGACCCGCCGGGUCGGUCCGGGUCUCAAAACUAUGCCCGGAAGUUUUACUUUUAAUGAAAGGAGAGUCAUUUGAGGAGAAAUUUUAUGGUAUUCUAUAAAUAAAAUAAAAAAGCAUAAUUAAUGUAUCUAACUCAAAGAAGAUAGAAAGAAAAUCAAGAUGGAUGACGUUCAUUAAUUACGUAAUGUGGUGCAUCUUCAUUAGGAAGUUAUAAUGAUGCUCUAGAAUCCAGUAUACUAGGAAACUUGCGUCUCGUUGUGUUUGGAACCCAAACGAAAUUGAGCUUCCCGACCUUAAGACACGACCAACGAACUCAAAAUUCUAUGUUACAAGCAACCAACUAGGUGGUGAUCCAGUUAUAAGAAUUUGAGAUCAAAAGGUUUGCUUCCUCUGUGGUCUCAGGUUCGAGCCUUGUUGUUGCUCAUAUGAUGGCCACUGGAGGCUUACAUGGUCGUUAACUUCAGGACCCGUGGGAUUAGUCGAGGUGCGCGCAAGCUGGCCCGGACAGCCACAUUAAACUAAAAAAAUUAAAAAAAAUUCUAGGUUACAAGCAGCCUUCCAAUCCAAGCACUCCACACACAAAAACUGUCUGAUAUUUCCCAUCUAAUGGCUGCGAUGACAUACAUCUCUAGUCAGACUCUUGAAUCUAUAUCUUUAUCAUGGUUAUAAAAUUAAUUUGACUCAAAAUCUAAAUCAUGGGUCAGGUUGAUACAAGAAAAUUGAACCGGUUUUUAAUUUUAAAAAAAAUACAAAAUAUCUAAUUAGCUUGUUUGUUUAUGCGUUUUGAGUUGUUUUGAGUUAUGAUUAAAAUAAAAGGCAGUUAAAGUAAUAUUUUUAGUUUAAAUUGUAAUUUAAAAUGCAUAAAAAUUAAACGCAUAGGUAAACACAUUUUAUAUUUUUAUAAAAAAAUAAUCGGAUUUUUUCACUAAUCUAAGAUGAUUGUAAAGUCUAAAAUCUUGUUUGGCAUUGUAGUUUAUUCAUGUUUUUUUUUAAAUAGUUUUAAAUUAAUUAUUUUUUAUGUUUUUGAAUUAUUUUAAUGUUGUGAUAUCAAAAAUAAAUUUUAAAAAAUUAAAAAAUAUAUAUUAUUUUAAUAUAUUUCAAAAAUAACUUUAAAAAACCAUAUGUAUUAUACUAUCCACGAAAGUUAAGUCUUACAAUGAGACUUCACACGUGACCAAAUACAAACACAACCAUGUCAAUGAUAAAAACUAGUAUAUUUGUCCGCGUUCCACAGCGGGUCAAUAUCAUUUUUUUUUCAAAUUUAUUAAUAAUUAUAUUAAUAAUAUUAACAACAACAACACCAAUAAUAAUAAUUUUACCCUUCAAAUCAAAUUUAUGGUUUUUUUCAAUAAUAAUAAUAUUUUUAAAAUUUUUUAUUAAUAAUAAUAAAUAUAAUAAUAUCAAUAAUAAUAUUAAACAUGCCCGACCCAAGUUUAAGUGGGUAUGAUAUGCUUUCAAAUCAAAUUUAUAGUUUUUUUCGAUAGUAAUAUUAUUUUUUUCAAAUAUAUUAAUAAUUAUACUAAUAAUAAAUAUAUUAAGUCUAAUAAUAUUAUUAAACAUGUCUUACCCAAGUUUAAGUGGGUCUAGUAUGCUUGUUAGACCCAUGAUGGUUGGGUCUGGUCAACACACCAGACUCAUGGAUAUUGGGUUUGAUAAAAAUAUCAGAUCCGCUUUCCUUUUCCUCUCUUUUAUUUUUUUUCUACCCGCCUCAAAAAUCACACUGACUAUUCAAAUAAUUAAACUAUUUCAAUAAUAAAAAAAAAAAGAUAAAAGAAACUUCUAAUCCAAAGAAUAAAAUUUUAUACCCUGAAUAAAUAGCUAAUCAGUAUAUCCUACAGCCCAAAAAAUCCAAACAAAUUAUUAAAUCUUUAAUUAUUCUUUUAAUAUCAAAUAUAUCCAAUAAAAAAAAUAAUUACACCCUCAACAACAUAAUUAUCUCAGUUUUGGACCUUUUGGUGAAGAAUAAAAAGAUAAAAGUUUUAGCUUUCUUCAUAAUUAUCUUCCCGCGUGCCAACAUUGCCAUCCUAUUCUAGAAAGGAAACACUAAUUAUAACGACUUCCCUCGCUCCCGGUCCUUUCUGGUUUCCCAAGUUCUUUCUUAUAGUAGUCAGCAUCAGCAACACAUGGAGAGAGAAGUUAAAAAGCUCUGCGAUUCGUAAGGAGAGAAGAAGAGGAAGUAGCAACGACUCUAGCGAGGGACCUUAUAAAUUCCCCUCUCUUUCGCUUAACUCUUUCCACUUUCUCUCUCUACCUGAAGUAAACGAAGCGACAACGUCCUCUUGCGUUUAACUGGUAAUUUAUAAUUUAUCUACAAUCUUCUUUUCUUUUCUUUUCUUUUGAUAUGUUCUAGUUGGAUAUUUGUGUUGUGAUAAUCGAUUCUGUCGUUUCGUGUCUCAAUUUCUGAUUUCCGAGGCUGGAAAGUUAAAAAGUUGUUAUUUUUUUUGUUGUUGUUAGGUUUUGUUAAUGGUUAGUUCUGGCUAAUCGAGGCUAGAUUGUUUGCAUUCAGUAACAAAAGCAGUAAUUUUGAAUGCAGCACAAUGAAUUUCGAGCUAAAAAGGGGGUUAAUUUUGUUAAGUUUUGGCUAACCGACGCUUGAUUGUUUGCAUUCAGUAACAAAAGCAGCAAUUUUGAGUGCAUCACAGCAAAUUUCGAGCUAAAAAGAGGGUUUGUUUUUGUUAAUUUUGUUAAUUUUUGGCUAAUUGAGGGUUAUUAAUUUUGUGUAUUGGUUAGAGAACUUUAAGUUAAGAUGUCUAAAAGAUAUGGGCAACUGAAAGUGAUUGGAGUGUACGACUGAAGUGCAAGGUUUAUAGCGCAUACAUGUGUUCUUCUGCGUGUACGAUUAAGUAUCAGUUGGUGAGGGCUUGGCCUUUAUUUUUUUCUCCCUCGGAACAUGAGUUUUUUUAUGUUAGUCUAGAGUUUGAUGAUUUCAUGUGUGGAUGAUUAUUCUUGAUGUCCUGACUUGACCUAGCUUUGGAACAGCAUUGUUGAGGUGUUGUAAUCAUGUAUGGGCGUAGUGUUCCGAGGAUAUGUAAAAACACCAAGUAUUAUGAGGUUCUUGGCGUGUCAAAAGGUGCAAGUCAAGAUGAAAUGAAGAGGGCUUAUAGGAAAGCUGCCAUAAAGAAUCAUCCUGAUAAAGGUGGAGAUCCUGAAUAGGUAGUUUAUUAAAAACCGCUUUAUUUGAGUUGUGUAAGGAGUAUGUGAUGCCCAUUCGGCUCUGAACCAUAUUUGAGUUGUGCCUGGUAGCCAAGUGCUAGAGGCACUCACAUCUGCAUCUGGCCGAGGCAAGGGUGCAUUGGAGUCAUGACUUGUCAAUCACAUCAUGAUGAUUCUAAAUGAAUAGUUGCUGUCAUGGUUUUUCAGUUCUUUCUUUUUAAACUUCUGGGUGCUUGUUUGCUAUGGUGGUGGAUGCUAUUUACUUUUAGGAAGUCAUAACUUUUGUUUCGUAUUAUCACUAAAACUAGGUUGCAAAAAUAUCGAUUUCACUUUAGGAAAGUCUGAAUGUCUACGAUCCAUGUAGAAAUAUGUGACAUGUAAAGAUUAAAAAUUUGGUUGAAGACCAUGCAUGGAUCUCUGGGUGUUGAAUUUCCUUCAUCAUCAAGAUAAAAACACAGUGCUAACAAGUUUGCAAUGGUUUGUGUUUUGUUACAAUCAUCUAUUUAUCAACUUCUAGUGCUAUUGUUGCAAAAUCUGAAAGAAAAGGUGUUCAUUAGCAUAGUGUGAUUGAUCUAGUUUGUUUAUGUGUGCCUUCUGACGCUCAUCUAUUGAUAAUUUUUUACCGGUUCAAGGAGUUAUCUCAAGCUUAUGAAGUCCUUAGUGAUCCAGAUAAAAGAGAAAUUUAUGAUCAAUAUGGGGUAGAUGCAUUUAAGGAGGGAAUGGGAGGAGGUGGUGGUGGUCAUAGUCCAUUUGAUCUUUUUAAAUCAUUUUUUAGCAGAGGUGGUUUUGGCGGUGAGGCUGAGAGACUCCUUGAUGCAUUUUGCUUUUUAUUGACUAAUUUUCUUAGAUAAAGGUUCUCAAGUAUCUGUAUUUUUCAGGUGGUGGCAGCUCAAUAGGAAGAAGGCUGAAGCAAGGUGAAGAUAGAGUGCACUCUCUGAGGGUUUCCUUAGAGGACUCGUACAAUGGAACAUCCAUGAAACUCUCUAGAAACAUUUUGUGAGCCAAAUGUAAAGGGUAUGUUCUUUUACCUUAACUUUAUUAGUUCACUUGAAAGUUGUUUUUGCCUGUGUGGCCCUCACCAGUUCUCUUUUAAUAGUUUGCGAGUUGCAGUUUCAUUGAUGAGAUUGAUGAGAUUGUUUGUAUUUUUCUUCAUACCUCACCACCCUGUUUUUUUUUUUUUUUAUACCAGCCUGGGUUUGUUUUAAACCUUUUUGUCUAGUGUGUAGGUUGAUGGACUUUUGUUUUUAUAUUUAUGCUAAUAUUUCAGGAAAGGUUAAAAGAGUGGAGCCUCUGGUACAUGUCAUGGCUGCCAAGAUUCCGGAAUGAAAGUUCCAAUUCAACAGAUCGGAUUGGGCAUGGUCCAACAAAUGCAGCAGCAUGUGUGCCCUGAAUGCAGAGGUUCAGGUUAUUAACUGAAACAGAUUUCUUCCCCUUUCUUCAUUUUUGCUCUAUUUCCAUUCUGAAAUGCAUCUAUCAUGGUUGCAGGUGAGCUCAUUAGUGAGAUGGAUAAAUGCCCCCUAUGCAGAGGGAACAAGGUGACACAAGAAAAGAUGGUGCUGGGGGGGGGGGGGGGGGGGGGGGACAAAAGAUGGCCUUGGGAAAAAAUUUAAUUUUUAAAAAUUUCCAAAAAACAGCCUUUUUGAAGGUUUUGGUUUUUGUUCCUGGUAACUGGUGAGAAAAGAUAAGCUUUUUUUUUUGGGGGGGGGGGGGGUACCAUAGGAUGCCAUUGGACAAGAUUUUAGUUUUUAAGAGUUCCCAAGAACCAGCAUUCUUGAGGUUUUUGUUUUCUGUUCCUGCUAACUGGUGCAAGAAUUGGCACAUUUUAUUAUCAAUUUUCUGAAUGCCCACAUUGAUGUGGUUACGACACUUCAGAAUCAAUUUUGUGAAUGCAUUUGAAGAUAGUGGUUGAUCUGCAAUUUAAUUCUUGCCAUUAGACUUUAAUAUAAAUUUUAGUUCUAUGUUGUUCCAAUAAUGUCAAUAGUUUAACAGAAUUUUCUCUUAUGCAAUUGCAUUAAACAAAAUCUUGUUUUUCAUCAUGUCAUUUGCAGCCUGACUCAAUUACAAGGGGAUGUUGUUGCUGUACUGCAAUUGAAAGAGCACCCCAAUUUUGAACGGAAAUUGGAUGAUCUCUAUGUGAAACGCACUAUCAAUUUAACAGAGGCUCUUUGUGGGUAUCAGUUUUCCCUUACUCAUCUUGAUGGUCGGCAGCUUCUUAUCAAAUCAAAUCCUGGCAAGAUCAUAAAACCUGGUGUUACUUGUAAAUUUAUUCUUUGAAUUUCAUUCUUAGCUCCUCACUCUUGAUCACUUGACAUCCUUCUGAAUUCAGGUCAGUACAAAGCAAUUAAUGAUGAAGGAAUGCCACAUUAUAUCAGGCCCUUCAUGAAGGGCAAGCCUUAUAUCCGUUUUAAUGUGGAGUUCGCUGACUCUGGGAGUCUAUCCCCCCUCAGCAGUGCGAAGAGACAAUUAUGCAUGAUGUCAAUUUGGAGGAGGAGAAAAGGCAGCACCAGCAGCAGGAGGCAUAUGAUGAGGAUGAAGAACCAUCCACGUCCUGAGUGCAGUGUACCCAACAGGAAGCCAUAUAUCACAGUUUGUCUGUCAAGCUGAAUCCUGCAAUGAUGGGUUAGCAUCGAUUUAUAAUCUGUAGUGUGAAGACAUAAUUUGUUCUACAUAUUCGUCUUCUCAAGUUAAUUAUAUUCGAUUUAUAAUCUGUAGUGUUUCUAGUUAGAUUCUUUACCCUCACUUUAUGUUGCGUAUUUAUGGUUUGUGUUAUCUAUCUCGGUUAGUCUCAUGUUUUUGACAAUAAAAUUAAGAUGUACCAAUAUUCAUAAUAGACAUAAAAAGAUUCAUAGAUGUUUUAUUGCGUGUACUAUCCCAAAAUUUUGGCUCAUCAUAAUUAUCAUCAUCUUGCCCAAUCAAAACAUGUGCUAUGCAGUUGCGGAGUUGCAACUUAUUUGUGAUCAAGAGAGUGAGUUCUGGAUAUCUUCCCCUCAAAUAAUAAAGUGUUUGCUUGUUUUUGUUAUGUCUGGAAAUGAAUUUGUGAGACCAACUAGCUAAAGACUGGUGGGAUCUUCUCUAAAUUCUGUUUUCUUAGUUCAUUUUAUCUUGGCAUGCAUGCCAGUGCGGAGAGAGGAGCACUCCCGGUUGAUCUUUUCGUAUAUCUGUUUUCCUGGCUUCGUCAUUUUGGUCCUGUUGUCAAGAUAUUUCACUGAUCUUCACUAUUAUUUAAAUUGCCUAAAGCCUGCUUCUAAGGGAUUUUCCAUCAUCUCGCGGCAUGUUUGCUUCCUUCAAUUGCUCAUGAUACGCAUCUACUUUGAAGGCAUAAACUGCUGUAAAGUCUCGAGUCACAGCCCUAAGCUAACAAGUAGUUUUGUUGCCUGUAUUUGCUUUCUGAUAUUUCGCAGGAAGGAAGGAUGCGAGGAAACAUUUAUAUCAUGUUUACUUGUGGAAUAUUUUUCAGUUUUGAAGAAAACAAUUUCUAGUAAAUCGAAAAUUAUAGAGAAUACAUCAAGUAGUUUAAAAUGAGAUCAUGCUUAGCUAGCCUACCUGAUGGGAUCACCAACGCCCGAGCCAAAUAGCAGCCACCUUGUAAAAAUGCGUUCAUUCACUUAACUCAAAGGACGUAAAUGAAGAAACAAAGAUGGAUCCUAUUUUACAAGAAAUAAGAAAGUUUUGUAUCCAAAGAUUGGGAAGUUCACUGCACGAAGGCAGCUGCUGUGCGAAUUGGCUAGCUAAUUAUAGUCAUUGUUUGGAGCUAGGAGCUCACCCUCUCAGCAACUUUCCAGAGCGCAUUUUCUUCUUUGAUUUUUGCUGAUAUGGUGUGGGUAUCCUUAACCAGUAGUAGCGUGUUGUUUUCUUAGUUACGGCCCGUUUACUACGACAAAAAGAAAGGAUAAAGAUAAAGAUGGACAAUGUCCAUUUCUGUUGCAUCCUUGAUAGAAAUCAACGCAUGGUGUGAAUUGAAAAGAGAGAAUAGAAUUUGCUGGAAUGAAUUAUAUUAUUGAUCACAUCACGUACUAAUACAAGAGCAUUUACAGUCAUUCCAAUAGAUUAGGAAUCAAUUACUGUCCUGCAGUUUAUCAUCCAAUAGAUUCUUAUUCUUAACACAUGGUUUUUCAUAGAAAGGUCACUUAACAAUAAAACAGAGAGGUUAAUUAUUGAUACGAAUAACAGAGUGACGAUUUCAGUAUGAGAAAUCGUGCAAUUUUCAUGAGAAAAGCUUGGACACGGACAGGGUAAGAAUUUCAGCUUCAACAAUUAAAGUGUCAUUCUUAA
rnacentral:lncRNA from 1 species